UAGGGAAUCUUCGGCAAUGGACGGAANUCNGGACCGAGCAACGCCGCGUGAGUGAAGAAGGUUUUCGGAUCGUAAAGCUCUGUUGUAAGAGAAGAACGAGUGUGAGAGUGGAAAGUUCAUACUGUGACGGUAUCUUACCAGAAAGGGACGGCUAACUACGUGCCAGCAGCCGCGGUAAUACGUAGGUCCCGAGCGUUGUCCGGAUUUAUUGGGCGUAAAGCGAGCGCAGGCGGUUAGAUAAGUCUGAAGUUAAAGGCUGUGGCUUAACCAUAGUAGGCUCUGGAAACUGUUUAACUUGAGUGCAAGAGGGGAGAGUGGAAUUCCAUGUGUAGCGGUGAAAUGCGUAGAUAUAUGGAGGAACACCGGUGGCGAAAGCGGCUCUCUGGCUUGUAACUGACGCUGAGGCUCGAAAGCGUGGGGAGCAAACAGGAUUAGAUACCCUGGUAGUCCACGCUGUAAACGAUGAGUGCUAGGUGUUAGACCCUUUCCGGGGUUUAGUGCCGUAGCUAACGCAUUAAGCACUCCGCCUGGGGAGUACGACCGCAAGGUUG
rnacentral:rRNA from 1 species